rnacentral:rRNA from 1 species
AUUGAACGCUGGCGGCAGGCCUAACACAUGCAAGUCGAGCGAGCGGCGGACGGGUGAGUAAUGUCUGGGAAACUGCCUGAUGGAGGGGGAUAACUACUGGAAACGGUAGCUAAUACCGCAUACCAUCAGAUGUGCCCAGAUGGGAUUAGCUAGUAGGUGGGGUAACGGCUAACCAAGGCGACGAUCCCUAGCUGGUCUGAGCGGAUGACCAGCCACACUGGAAGUGGUAAACGGUCCAGACUCCGACGGAAGGCAGCAGUGGGGAAGAUUGAACAAUGGGCGCAAGCCUGAUGCAGACAUGCCGCGUGUGUGAGGAAGGCCUGCGAGUUGUAAGGCACUUUCAGCGGGGAGGCGUGACCCGCAGAAGAAGCACCGGCUAACUCCGUGCCAGCAGCCGCGGUAAUAC